rnacentral:rRNA from 1 species
UACAGAGGGGGCAAGCGUUGUUCGGAAUUACUGGGCGUAAAGGGCGCGUAGGUGGCCUUCUAAGUUGAACGUGAAAUCCCUGGGCUCAACCCAGGAACUGCGUCCAAGACUGGGAGGCUUGAAUCCGGGAGAGGGAUGCGGAAUUCCAGGUGUAGCGGUGAAAUGCGUAGAUAUCUGGAGGAACACCGGUGGCGAAGGCGACUCACUGGACAUGUAUUGACGCUGAGGUGCGAAAGCGUGGGGAGCAAACAGG